rnacentral:rRNA from 1 species
UACGUAGGUGGCAAGCGUUAUCCGGAAUUAUUGGGCGUAAAGCGCGCGCAGGUGGUUCUUUAAGUCUGAUGUGAAAGCCCCCGGCUCAACCGGGGGAGGGUCAUUGGAAACUGGGGAACUUGAGUAUAGAAGAGGAAAGUGGAAUUCCACGUGUAGCGGUGAAAUGCGUAGAGAUGUGGAGGAACACCAGUGGCGAAGGCGACUUUCUGGUCUAUAACUGACACUGAGGCGCGAAAGCGUGGGGGAGCAAACAGG